CAAGAGCAAGUACAAGUCCUUAUCAAUACACAAGAAAAUGAACCCCAAAAGAAGAAAAGAUGAAAUAGCUAAACAACUCCAGUGCGGAUCCAAACAGAACGCUAACAUGACAAGGUGAAGCCUACCCACGUGUUCAAUGCUGCCAGAGUCACCGGUCGUCUGAACGUUGACUGAUGUGUGCCGCACAAGGUGGGUCUCUCUCUGUGUGUGAAGGGAUGCUGAAUUUGUAAGACUAUCAAAAACGCAAACAUGGACGGUAACAGUGAAUACAUGAGAAUAAGCAGCCUUAUCAUCCUAGAGUAGAAACCAAUCCUUAUCGAUUGAAAGGGAAAUGGCAUGCUGGGAAAGGAUAGCAUGACACUAAGGAGCUUAAGUUGAAAUGGUUAAGGCAACAAAUUGGGUUGGUUAGUAAGAGUCGGCACCCUUUGUUACACGAAUUCAAGAAAACAUACUUUUGGCUCUAUCUGGUGUAUCAAUGUUUGAGAUUGAAGGAAAAUGGUUGAUUAAUAAGUUCAUUUAAAAUAAGAAAGGUUGAUUUAUAAUGAGUUUAUUUGGAUCAUAGAUGUAGAAUUAUGAUGUGAAAGUGAACUUUAGGGAAAAGAGAUUUAGUUACAAAGGCUUGGAGGUUGCCUCAUAUGGUUAAAUGAUUGUAUCGAAUGAUGACAGGUUGGUGAAGAAGAAAAGAGAAAUAGGUAAAGUAACAUCCAUCAGAGAAAUGUGAAGUGGAAUACAAAGAACAAAUAAAGCCUUAUUUUAAUUUAAAAAGGUUGAUUAAUUAUUCUUUGUUUU